AUUCGAUUUUUUCUCUUUCUCUUGAUUCUUUUCCGAUCGAGAUGGAUAGAUCCUGUUCAUUGAUUAACGAAAAUGCGCAAAAGCUCUAUUUGCCUCUGCCAUUCUAAGAGUUUCUUCCUUUUUGCGUAUGGCAUCGCCACUCCCUUUGGCGGACGGAUUC